rnacentral:rRNA from 1 species
CCGGGUUGCGGACAGUGUCUGGUGGGUAGUUUGACUGGGGCGGUCUCCUCCUAAAGAGUAACGGAGGAGCACGAAGGUUGGCUAAUCCUGGUCGGACAUCAGGAGGUUAGUGCAAUGGCAUAAGCCAGCUUGACUGCGAGCGUGACGGCGCGAGCAGGUGCGAAAGCAGGUCAUAGUGAUCCGGUGGUUCUGAAUGGAAGGGCCAUCGCUCAACGGAUAAAAGGUACUCCGGGGAUAACAGGCUGAUACCGCCCAAGAGUUCAUAUCGACGGCGGUGUUUGGCACCUCGAUGUCGGCUCAUCACAUCCUGGGGCUGAAGUAGGUCCCAAGGGUAUGGCUGUUCGCCAUUUAAAGUGGUACGCGAGCUGGGUUUAGAACGUCGUGAGACAGUUCGGUCCCUAUCUGCCGUGGGCGCUGGAGAACUGAGGGGGGCUGCUCCUAGUACGAGAGGACCGGAGUGGACGCAUCACUGGUGUUCGGGUUGUCAUGCCAAUGGCACUGCCCGGUAGCUAAAUGCGGAAGAGAUAAGUGCUGAAAGCAUCUAAGCACGAAACUUGCCCCGAGAUGAGUUCUCCCUGAGACUUAGAGUCUCCUGAAGGAACGUUGAAGACGACGACGUUGAUAGGCCGGGUGUGUAAGCGCAGCGAUGCGUUGAGCUAACCGGUACUAAUGAACCGUGAGGCUUAACCUUACAA